UUAAAUAACAUGUCCUGGUCAAAAAUAACACCAAGGUUUUUUACAUUAUUACCGGAGGUCAAUUUAAUGCCAUCCAGGUUAAGUGAUUGACUAAGCAGUUUCUUUUUUGAUGUUAUUAAUGUUCUGAACUAUUAGAAUAACAACCAGUGGCACCACUAAGGGGAGUAGGGGAAGCAAUGGCCACCCCAGUUUAUUGGAAGCCAUUCUGGUCCUUAUUCUUACCUGCAUAAACACAUUAUGCAGAUAAGACCACUGUGGAUGUAUCUUUAGAGGUGGAGCUCUCUCUAUCAGCAUAAAAAAAACAUGCUUCAUGAACAUAAAGACUCUUUGGCCUUUUAUUUUUGUAAAAACACAUGCAAAAAAACCCCAAAAACAAAUAAUUGGAUCUGAAUUUCAAGUAUGUUGUUCAUUAUAACAACAUACCCAUACAAAUUUCCUGAAAUUCUGUUGUGCACUCUACAACAACAUGCAUCAACACCACAUUUGAGCAGGUGACUGGCUUGCUAUGGUGGCUUUUUUCCACUGCUUCCUCCUGCAGCUGUAGCCCCCGGCCUGGCACUGGGCUGCGGUCGCAGUGGAGUGCGUCUUGUGCCUGUGCUGGGGCGGCUGGUGGUUGGUGUUUGGGUGGGGGCAGUUGGUUGGCCCGAGUGCUGAUACCUGGCUGGUAUAGGCGCAUGUUUACUUUAUUUUUUUGUUUCUCAUGGAUGGGUGGGCUGGGGCUGCUGGUGUUGGUUGAGCUCGGCAUGUGCUGCUCCGCUCGCAUGUGGUGGCUGAGGUGCCGUCGUGCUGGGCUGCUGCCUUCCUGUCGCAGGGCACUGUGUCAGGAGCUGUGUGCAGAGCUCACGCUGUGUAGAUGUGUCUUCAGAGCCAUCUUGUGGGGGUGUGGCUUUGGUUGGCUGGCUCGUUUGGACCUCUCCUUUGUUGUUAUUUUUGUGUCCCCCCUCUCUGGAUGGGGUUCACUGGGGGAAGCCGUCAGUGUGGGGGGCUCGGUCUCUGGGCCGGGGUCAUUCGGGUUAGGGCUGUGCUGUUCUAGUCUGGACUGGUGGUUCGGGCACUCUGCUUGUCUCCACCCCAGAAUGAAGGGGAUGACCUCCUGGGUCUGGUUGCCUCUCGGGGGUGUCGGUACUUGGACUUGGGAGUAUAUUGUUGUAUGUGGAGUGCAAGUGAGUGUAAAGCGUCCAUUCUCGUGUGUCUUUUUGUUGCGUGUGUGGGUGAAUGCAUGUAUCUGCAUGACACUGGGAACGUGUGAUUGUGACUGUGUGCCUGUUUUUUAGUCAGCUUGGAUUUUGGGCUACAAUUUGGGAUCAAAUGUGGGGCCCGUUUCUCCCCUAUCACGUCGGUGGUUCUCUCUGGCUCUUGGGGGCCUUGGGAUGUCUGUGGCUCCAAUCUCCUCUGUGUCCAUUUUGGGGCCUGGAGGGCAGGUGUGUGUUUCUUCAUGUCCACUACUGAAUGUUAUUAUGAAGAAAUCUUAUAUUGUCAUACCACUAGACCUGAGCACUGGUUGGUUUGUGUGUGUGUGCAGUUUUUUGUUCUCUCUUACCUCUCCUCUAGGGGGUGAUAGGCAGGUGUUUCCACACAGCUGAGAACCAUCAGAGGUAAUCAAGCAGACUGGGGCGUCAGAUUGUUAUUCUGCCCAGAAUGGCUGGAUUCCGGUCCAAAUCCUGGUUCUGCCCAAGGCACCCUGCAGUGUUUGCCGGACCAAGAACCUCUUCCUCCUCCAGAAAAGAAGCGCUUCUGGAGACUACUCACCUCAUUGUCAAGUCUGGAACCAGCCUUUCACCCACCUGUCCACCCUCCAACAUCCCAUCCAGUUGGCUGAAAAGCAAGAGAGAGAACCCCAAUCACCACACAACAACAACCUUUCCUGUCAAACUCCAUCAUCAUGGUGUGACUUACUUGUUCCCCUGGAAACAUCAGACCUACAGAAAAUAAGCUGCCCUGCCCGAGCCCGAACCCAAGACGACCACACUCUUACCUCUUGUGACUCAAUAAAGCCAUUAAACCUAA